CACAAACAUAAACGGUUAGGAGAAAAUCGGAUGUCUAACAGUAUAUUUGAUCUGUGCGUUCAUUCUUAAAGGGACAGCAGCCUAAUAAACUUUUGCUGUCUGUUGUUAAUUUAAUCCCAGAAGUCACUCACUGCUUUUGACUUUUGAAUCUUUGAUAUCAAUGCAUAUUUAAUUCAUACAGUGAAGACUAUACAGUUUUAUUUUUACAUUUGAUUAUUCAAUUUAUGAAGUAUUUCUUAUAAACCUAGGCUACCUGAAAAACCUAGUUUAAUUGGUAUAUUUUUUUCUGUUGUUUUUCCUCCUAUUGUUUGUUUUUUGCCAUGAAAAUAGCCUUGGAUGCUGACAUGGCACUAAAUAAAACAAUCUGAACCUG